UAAGGAAUAUUGGUCAAUGGACGCAAGUCUGAACCAGCCAUGCCGCGUGAAGGAUGAAGGUCCUCUGGAUUGUAAACUUCUUUUAUCUGGGACGAAAACGGGAUUUUUAUCUCAAUUGACGGUACCAGAGGAAUAAGCACCAGCUAACUCCGUGCCAGCAGCCGCGGUAAUACGGAGGGUGCGAGCGUUAUCCGGAUUUACUGGGUUUAAAGGGUGCGUAGGUGGGCUUAUAAGUCAGUGGUGAAAUCUCCGAGCUUAACUUGGAAACUGCCGUUGAUACUAUAGGUCUUGAAUUAUCUGGAGGUAAGCGGAAUAUGUCAUGUAGCGGUGAAAUGCUUAGAUAUGACAUAGAACACCAAUUGCGAAGGCAGCUUACUACAUAUAAAUUGACGCUGAGGCACGAAAGCGUGGGGAUCAAACA
rnacentral:rRNA from 1 species